GUGGAUGUAGCUCAGUUGGUUAGAGCAUCGGAUUGUGGUUCCGGGGGUCGCGGGUUCAAAUCCCGUCUUCCACCCCA
rnacentral:tRNA from 1 species